UACAGAGGUCUCAAGCGUUGUUCGGAUUCAUUGGGCGUAAAGGGUGCGUAGGCGGCGCGGUAAGUCGGGUGUGAAUCUCGGAGCUUAACUCCGAACUGCAUUCGAUACUGCCGUGCUUGAGGACUGGAGAGGAGACUGGAAUUUACGGUGUAGCGGUGAAAUGCGUAGAUAUCGUAAGGAAGACCAGUGGCGAAGGCGGGUCUCUGGACAGUUCCUGACGUGAGGCACGAAGGUCAGGGGAGCAAACGGG
rnacentral:rRNA from 1 species